GACGUAGGAGGCGAGCGUUGUCCGGAUUCAUUGGGCGUAAAGGGUGCGUAGGCGGCGCGGUAAGUCGGGUGUGAAAUCUCGGGGCUUAACUCCGAAACUGCAUUCGAUACUGCCGUGCUUGAGGACUGGAGAGGAGACUGGAAUUUACGGUGUAGCGGUGAAAUGCGUAGAUAUCGUAAGGAAGACCAGUGGCGAAGGCGGGUCUCUGGACAGUUCCUGACGCUGAGGCACGAAGGUCAGGGGAGCAAACGGG
rnacentral:rRNA from 1 species